GACGAACGCUGGCGGCGUGCUUAACACAUGCAAGUCUACGAGAAAGGGUAGCAAUACCUGAGUAAAGUGGCGCACGGGUGAGUAACACGUGACUAACCUACCCUGGAGUGGGGGAUAACUGAGGGAAACCUUAGCUAAUACCGCAUAAUACCUACGGGUCAAAGGAGCAAUUCGCUUCAGGAGGGGGUCGCGGCCGAUUAGUUAGUUGGCGGGGUAAUGGCCCACCAAGACAGUGAUCGGUAUCCGGCCUGAGAGGGCGCACGGACACACUGGAACUGAAACACGGUCCAGACUCCUACGGGAGGCAGCAGUGGGGAAUUUUGCGCAAUGGGGGAAACCCUGACGCAGCAACGCCGCGUGGAGGAUGAAGUACUUCGGUACGUAAACUCCUUUCGAUCGGGACGAUAAUGACGGUACCGGAAGAAGAAGCCCCGGCUAACUUCGUGCCAGCAGCCGCGGUAAUACGAGGGGGGCAAGCGUUGUCGGAAUUAUUGGGCGUAAAGGGUGCGUAGGCGGUUUGGUAAGUCCUUUGUGAAAUCUAUGGGCUCAACUCAUAGACUGCAAGGGAAACUGCCGGGCUUGAGUAUGGGAGAGGUGAGUGGAAUUCCUGGUGUAGCGGUGAAAUGCGUAGAUAUCAGGAGGAACACCUGUGGCGAAAGCGGCUCACUGGACCAUAACUGACGCUGAUGCACGAAAGCUAGGGGAGCAAACAGGAUUAGAUACCCUGGUAGUCCAAGCCCUAAACGAUGACUGCUUGGUGUGACGGGUACCCAAUCCCGCCGUGCCGUAGCUAACGCGUUAAGCAGUCCGCCUGGGGAGUACGGUCGCAAGGCUG
rnacentral:rRNA from 1 species